GGUUAAGCGACUAAGCGUACACGGUGGAUGCCCUGGCAGUCAGAGGCGAUGAAGGACGUGCUAAUCUGCGAUAAGCGUCGGUAAGGUGAUAUGAACCGUUAUAACCGGCGAUUUCCGAAUGGGGAAACCCAGUGUGAUUCGUCACACUAUCAUUAACUGAAUCCAUAGGUUAAUGAGGCGAACCGGGGGAACUGAAACAUCUAAGUACCCCGAGGAAAAGAAAUCAACCGAGAUUCCCCCAGUAGCGGCGAGCGAACGGGGAGGAGCCCAGAGCCUGAAUCAGUAUGUGUGUUAGUGGAAGCGUCUGGAAAGGCGCGCGAUACAGGGUGACAGCCCCGUACACAAAAAUGCACAUAUUGUGAGCUCGAUGAGUAGGGCGGGACACGUGGUAUCCUGUCUGAAUAUGGGGGGACCAUCCUCCAAGGCUAAAUACUCCUGACUGACCGAUAGUGAACCAGUACCGUGAGGGAAAGGCGAAAAGAACCCCGGCGAGGGGAGUGAAAAAGAACCUGAAACCGUGUACGUACAAGCAGUGGGAGCACGCUUAGGCGUGUGACUGCGUACCUUUUGUAUAAUGGGUCAGCGACUUAUAUUCUGUAGCAAGGUUAACCGAAUAGGGAGCCGAAGGGAAACCGAGUCUUAACUGGGCGUUAAGUUGCAGGGUAUAGACCCGAAACCCGGUGAUCUAGCCAUGGGCAGGUUGAAGGUUGGGUAACACUAACUGGAGGACCGAACCGACUAAUGUUGAAAAAUUAGCGGAUGACUUGUGGCUGGGGGUGAAAGGCCAAUCAAACCGGGAGAUAGCUGGUUCUCCCCGAAAGCUAUUUAGGUAGCGCCUCGUGAAUUCAUCUCCGGGGGUAGAGCACUGUUUCGGCAAGGGGGUCAUCCCGACUUACCAACCCGAUGCAAACUGCGAAUACCGGAGAAUGUUAUCACGGGAGACACACGGCGGGUGCUAACGUCCGUCGUGAAGAGGGAAACAACCCAGACCGCCAGCUAAGGUCCCAAAGUCAUGGUUAAGUGGGAAACGAUGUGGGAAGGCCCAGACAGCCAGGAUGUUGGCUUAGAAGCAGCCAUCAUUUAAAGAAAGCGUAAUAGCUCACUGGUCGAGUCGGCCUGCGCGGAAGAUGUAACGGGGCUAAACCAUGCACCGAAGCUGCGGCAGCGACGCUUAUGCGUUGUUGGGUAGGGGAGCGUUCUGUAAGCCUGCGAAGGUGUGCUGUGAGGCAUGCUGGAGGUAUCAGAAGUGCGAAUGCUGACAUAAGUAACGAUAAAGCGGGUGAAAAGCCCGCUCGCCGGAAGACCAAGGGUUCCUGUCCAACGUUAAUCGGGGCAGGGUGAGUCGACCCCUAAGGCGAGGCCGAAAGGCGUAGUCGAUGGGAAACAGGUUAAUAUUCCUGUACUUGGUGUUACUGCGAAGGGGGGACGGAGAAGGCUAUGUUGGCCGGGCGACGGUUGUCCCGGUUUAAGCGUGUAGGCUGGUUUUCCAGGCAAAUCCGGAAAAUCAAGGCUGAGGCGUGAUGACGAGGCACUACGGUGCUGAAGCAACAAAUGCCCUGCUUCCAGGAAAAGCCUCUAAGCAUCAGGUAACAUCAAAUCGUACCCCAAACCGACACAGGUGGUCAGGUAGAGAAUACCAAGGCGCUUGAGAGAACUCGGGUGAAGGAACUAGGCAAAAUGGUGCCGUAACUUCGGGAGAAGGCACGCUGAUAUGUAGGUGAGGUCCCUCGCGGAUGGAGCUGAAAUCAGUCGAAGAUACCAGCUGGCUGCAACUGUUUAUUAAAAACACAGCACUGUGCAAACACGAAAGUGGACGUAUACGGUGUGACGCCUGCCCGGUGCCGGAAGGUUAAUUGAUGGGGUCAGCGCAAGCGAAGCUCUUGAUCGAAGCCCCGGUAAACGGCGGCCGUAACUAUAACGGUCCUAAGGUAGCGAAAUUCCUUGUCGGGUAAGUUCCGACCUGCACGAAUGGCGUAAUGAUGGCCAGGCUGUCUCCACCCGAGACUCAGUGAAAUUGAACUCGCUGUGAAGAUGCAGUGUACCCGCGGCAAGACGGAAAGACCCCGUGAACCUUUACUAUAGCUUGACACUGAACAUUGAGCCUUGAUGUGUAGGAUAGGUGGGAGGCUUAGAAGUGUGGACGCCAGUCUGCAUGGAGCCGACCUUGAAAUACCACCCUUUAAUGUUUGAUGUUCUAACGUUGACCCGUAAUCCGGGUUGCGGACAGUGUCUGGUGGGUAGUUUGACUGGGGCGGUCUCCUCCUAAAGAGUAACGGAGGAGCACGAAGGUUGGCUAAUCCUGGUCGGACAUCAGGAGGUUAGUGCAAUGGCAUAAGCCAGCUUGACUGCGAGCGUGACGGCGCGAGCAGGUGCGAAAGCAGGUCAUAGUGAUCCGGUGGUUCUGAAUGGAAGGGCCAUCGCUCAACGGAUAAAAGGUACUCCGGGGAUAACAGGCUGAUACCGCCCAAGAGUUCAUAUCGACGGCGGUGUUUGGCACCUCGAUGUCGGCUCAUCACAUCCUGGGGCUGAAGUAGGUCCCAAGGGUAUGGCUGUUCGCCAUUUAAAGUGGUACGCGAGCUGGGUUUAGAACGUCGUGAGACAGUUCGGUCCCUAUCUGCCGUGGGCGCUGGAGAACUGAGGGGGGCUGCUCCUAGUACGAGAGGACCGGAGUGGACGCAUCACUGGUGUUCGGGUUGUCAUGCCAAUGGCACUGCCCGGUAGCUAAAUGCGGAAGAGAUAAGUGCUGAAAGCAUCUAAGCACGAAACUUGCCCCGAGAUGAGUUCUCCCUGACUCCUUGAGAGUCCUGAAGGAACGUUGAAGACGACGACGUUGAUAGGCCGGGUGUGUAAGCGCAGCGAUGCGUUGAGCUAACCGGUACUAAUGAACCGUGAGGCUUAACCUU
rnacentral:rRNA from 1 species